rnacentral:rRNA from 1 species
GGCCCGACAGAGUUUGAUCAUGGCUCAGGACGAACGCUGGCGGCGCGCUUAACACAUGCAAGUCGAGCGAGAACCGGUCCUUCGGGACCGGGGAAAGCGGCGAACGGGUGAGUAACACGUGGGCAACCCACCCUUGGUACUGGGAUAGCCCGGGGAAACCCGGAUUAAUACCGGAUGGCCCAGCAGCUCUUCGGGGCGGCUGGAAAAGGGAGCUUCGGCCUCCGACCAAGGACGGGCCCGCGGCGGAUUAGCUUGUUGGUGGGGUAACGGCCCACCAAGGCGACGAUCCGUAGCUGGUCUGAGAGGACGAUCAGCCACACUGGGACUGAGACACGGCCCAGACUCCUACGGGAGGCAGCAGUGGGGAAUCUUGCGCAAUGGGCGAAAGCCUGACGCAGCGACGCCGCGUGGGGGAAGAAGGCUCUCGGGUUGUAAACCCCUUUCAGGAAGGACGAAGCUCCUCGGGUGAAUAGCCCAGAGGGUGACGGUACUUCCAGAAGAAGCCCCGGCUAACUACGUGCCAGCAGCCGCGGUAAUA